CGGGCGCGGCGAACGGUCUAAGUCCCUUGGAACGGGGCGUCAGAGAGGGUGAGAAUCCCGUAUGUGACCGGCGACCAAGCCCAUGUGAAACUCCUUCGACGAGUCGAGUUGUUUGGGAAUGCAGCUCAAAAUGGGUGGUAAAUUUCAUCUAAAGCUAAAUACCGGCCAGAGACCGAUAGCGCACAAGUAGAGUGAUCGAAAGAUGAAAAGCACUUUGGAAAGAGAGUCAAAAAGUACGUGAAAUUGUUGAAAGGGAAGCGCUUGCAACCAGACCUGCCCGCGGGCGAUCCGCUGUCCCUCCGGGGGCGGUGUACUCGCCCGCGAUCAGGCCAGCAUCGGUUCGGGCGGCCGGAUAAAGGCCCUGGGAACGUGGCUCCUCUCGGGGAGUGUUAUAGCCCUCGGUGCAAUGCGGCCAGCCCGGACCGAGGACCGCGCUUCGGCUAGGAUGCUGGCGUAAUGGUUGUAAGCGGCCCGUCUUGAAACACGGACCAAGGAGUCUAACAUCUAUGCGAGUGUUUGGGUGUCAAACCCAUGCGCGUAAUGAAAGUGAACGGAGGUGGGAACCCGCGAGGGCGCACCAUCGACCGAUCCAGAUGUCUUCGGAUGGAUUUGAGUACGAGCAUAGCUGUUGGGACCCGAAAGAUGGUGAACUAUACUUGAAUAGGGUGAAGCCAGAGGAAACUCUGGUGGAGGCUCGCAGCGGUUCUGACGUGCAAAUCGAUCGUCAAAUUUGAGUAUAGGGGCGAAAGACUAAUCGAACCAU
rnacentral:rRNA from 1 species